rnacentral:lncRNA from 1 species
AUGAGAGCUUUUCUGUCUCCUCCAACUUUGUUGGAGGGUCCAUCCAGACUAUCACCUUUGCUUCCAAGGAGAGGAGGAAGAGGCUCAAGAGGUCCAGGGAAUCUUCUGGACCACCAAAUUACCAAUGAAGGAGGAGAAUCAAGCUCUGAUAUGUUAGCUGAUUCUCACAGGGGUCCUUUAGACACGGGGCCCCUGUCACCUCUGUGGGAAAAGACAGCUUCUGGAGAUUAUUUUCCACCAAGGGAUUUCCUAGGUCCAGUACAUGCUCCAUUUGCAAUGAGAAAUGUCUGUCCACCGAGACCUGGAUUUUUCCUCCCACCUCCACACUGUGAAGGCAGAAGUGAGUUCCUUCAGGCUUGAUUCUGCCUUCAAAUGAGCCUGCUUCUGAACAUCCAGAACCACAGCAAGAAAACUGACAAGAUUUUUUCUCUCUUUAAAAGUGAUUUUGAUUGAUCUCAUUUUCAAUUUUAAGUAACUGCUGUUACUGUAUAACUGCUAUUUAUACUUAAUUUACUUAUACUUUUGCUAGAAUAUAGAUGUAAAUAAAGAUGAUUUAAAUAUGAAUCUUAUGAGUAAAUUAUUUCUAUUUUAUUUUAUUCUAGAUAGUAUAACUAUUUUAAUCUGAUUAACUAAUCCACUAUUAUAUAAACAAUAGUAGGAGUUUUAUAUAUGUAAUCUUGCAGGUGGGGAGGCUUUAAAUUCUAAAGGCUGUGUCUUUAUGCCAAGAAGUGUAUUUACUGUGGUUGUAGACAAAGGUGAAAGUAACUUUAUGCUUAAUUAAAUACAUUUUAGUUGAUUUAAAGACUUGUUUGGCAUUGGCAAUAAUAAAAUCAGCUAGUUUUUCUAUAAAGAAAACCUCAUAGCAUAUGUAAUGUGAACUAUGAGUUUAGUUGAUAAUGUAUCAGCAUUGGCUCCUCAAUUGUAACAGAUAUGCCACACUAAUGCCAGAUGUUAAUAAUAGGGGAAACUGUGUAUGCGGGUGGGGCCGGAAAAGAGUGUAUGGGAACUCUAUACUUUCUGUUCAAUCUUUCUGCAAACCUCAAACUGCUCUAAAAAUUCAUUGAAAAACUGAGAUGUAAGAAGGAAAAGUAAAUGAAAAAUAAAAAUACCUAAGAAAUACAAAUAGAAGAAACUAUAAAUUAAUAUAUAAUUUUAGAAUAAACUUGGUAGGAAUAUAUCAGAAAACAUGAAUUAAGAAAGAAAAGACUAAUACAUCACUAGAAAAAUGAGAAAAAGAUAUUAAUAGACAUUUUUAAAAGGAAGAAUAAAUGUUCAAUAAGACUAUGAGAGAAAUGUUCAGUCACAUUUAUAUGAAAACUUAAAGUUAUGAGAUUUCAUUUUUCUCUAUGAAAUUCACAAACAUUUUUAAAAGAGAUAAUCAUGAGGGGCUAAACAGGCCCUUUCACAUAUGACCAGUGAGGGCUGUAAAUCGGGAUGACCUUUGGUCAGAAAAAAAUUUCCAAAACUUGGAAGGCAAAAUAUGGUUGCAUAAUUUGUUUUCAUGUGAGGGCAUUGCCUAACUAGCCCAUCUAAGGUGAAUUAAAUCCUGCUUUGUUAUUGAUUUGGACAUUUUACAACUGUAAAUUCAGACAUUAGCUUAUAGAAAAUUGGUAAGAUGUUAAUAUUUUUGUCUAAUAGAGAUAUAAUUUCUGUCCUGCACAGACAAAAAUGAUUUCUGCUCUGUAAAGAAGACAGCACCAACAGCUAUGGUUUAUCACCCUGUGGGACAGUCAUCAGAUUUAGAUCUAAUUUAGCAAUUAUUUAUAAUGAUUUUAGUAUUCUUUUUCUUAUAUAUGCACAUAUGCACAUAUAUGUAUAUAUACAUAAUAUACAUUUUAUAUGUAUAUAUAACAUAUACAUUAUGGGAUGUAUAUAUACCUAUAUACAUAAUAUAUGCAUAUUUAUGUAUAAUACA